GACAGAGGGUGCGAACGUUGUUCGGAAUUACUGGGCGUAAAGCGUGCGCAGGCGGUUAUGCAAGACAGAUGUGAAAUCCCCGGGCUUAACCUGGGAACUGCAUUUGUGACUGCAUAGCUGGAGUACGGCAGAGGGGGAUGGAAUUCCGCGUGUAGCAGUGAAAUGCGUAGAUAUGGGGAGGAACACCGGUGGCGAAGGCGGCCAUCUGGACGGAUACUGACGCUGAGACGCGAAAGCGUGGGGAGCAAACAGG
rnacentral:rRNA from 1 species